rnacentral:rRNA from 1 species
UAGGGAAUAUUGGACAAUGGGCGAAAGCCUGAUCCAGCAAUGCCGCGUGAGCGAUGAAGGCCUUAGGGUUGUAAAGCUCUUUUACCCGGGAUGAUAAUGACAGUACCGGGAGAAUAAGCCCCGGCUAACUCCGUGCCAGCAGCCGCGGUAAUACGGAGGGGGCUAGCGUUGUUCGGAAUUACUGGGCGUAAAGCGCACGUAGGCGGCUAUUUAAGUCAGAGGUGAAAGCCCGGGGCUCAACCCCGGAAUUGCCUUUGAGACUGGAUAGCUAGAAUCUUGGAGAGGCGGGUGGAAUUCCGAGUGUAGAGGUGAAAUUCGUAGAUAUUCGGAAGAACACCAGUGGCGAAGGCGGCCCGCUGGACAAGUAUUGACGCUGAGGUGCGAAAGCGUGGGGAGCAAACA